AUUCAGCUGACGAGUCUCAAAUAGGAUGAAACGCGCAUUCUGGAC
rfam:Schistosoma curassoni strain Dakar, Senegal genome assembly, scaffold: SCTD_scaffold0000768